rnacentral:tmRNA from 1 species
GGGGCUGCAUUGGUUUCGACGUGGGUUGGAAUCGUGUCGGUGCAUGUCGAGGUUCAGUCACCUCGUGAAACCGCUGAAAAAAACUAACUGCAAACGACGAACGUUUCGCACUCGCCGCCUAAUAACCGGUGAGCCUCGCAACAGUUGGCCGAUGGGCUGGGCAAGGGCGCCGCAAGGCGUCCAGGCUGCGAGGGAAUUUACAUGGGCUGGCUUCAACCCGGGUGCCUUGGGUUGGGGUGAGACACAAGGGCACUGGCCGGCUGUUCAGCGUGCGUCUGCGCGGGGCAGUUGGUGAGACUCAAAUCAGAACGCUAAACAUGUAGAUCUGCUCGAGGAAUGCUUGCGGACGGGGGUUCAAAUCCCCCCAGCUCCACCA